AGUGAACGCUGGCGGUAGGCCUAACACAUGCAAGUCGAACGGCAGCACAGUAAGAGCUUGCUCUUACGGGUGGCGAGUGGCGGACGGGUGAGGAAUACAUCGGAAUCUACUUUUUCGUGGGGGAUAACGUAGGGAAACUUACGCUAAUACCGCAUACGACCUACGGAUGAAAGCAGGGGAUCUUCGGACCUUGCGCGAUUGAAUGAGCCGAUGUCGGAUUAGCUAGUUGGCGGGGUAAAGGCCCACCAAGGCGACGAUCCGUAGCUGGUCUGAGAGGAUGAUCAGCCACACUGGAACUGAGACACGGUCCAGACUCCUACGGGAGGCAGCUGUGGGGAAUAUUGGACAAUGGGCGCAAGCCUGAUCCAGCCAUACCGCGUGGGUGAAGAAGGCCUUCGGGUUGUAAAGCCCUUUUGUUGGGAAAGAAAAGCAGCAGGUUAAUACCCCGCUGUUCUGACGGUACCCAAAGAAUAAGCACCGGCUAACUUCGUG
rnacentral:rRNA from 1 species